rnacentral:rRNA from 1 species
CAGUCGCCGCGGGAAUACAGAGGGUGCAAGCGUUAAUCGGAAUUACUGGGCGUAAAGGGCGCGUAGGUGGCUGUGUAAGUGAGAUGUGAAAUCCCCGGGCUCAACCUGGGAACUGCGUCUUAUACUGCAUAGCUUGAGUACAAUAGAGGGUAGUGGAAUUUCCGGUGUAGCGGUGAAAUGCGUAGAUAUCGGAAGGAACACCAGUGGCGAAGGCGGCUACCUGGAUUGAUACUGACACUGAGGCGCGAGAGCGUGGGGAGCAAACAGGAUUAGAGACCCCCGUAGUCCCUGUCUCUUAUAC